GAUGAAGAACGCAGCGAAAUGCGAUAAGUAAUGCGAAUUGCAGAAUUUCCGUGAGUCAUCGAAUCUUUGAACGCACAUUGCGCCCCUUGGUAUUCCAUGGGGCAUGCCUGUUCGAGCGUCAUUUGUACCUUCAAGCUUUGCUUGGUGUUGGGUGUUUGUCUCGCCUCCGCGUGUAGACUCGCCUCAAAACAAUUGGCAGCCGGCGUAUUGAUUUCGGAGCGCAGUACAUCUCGCGCUUUGCACUCACAACGACGACGUCCAAAAGUACAUUUUUACACUCUUGACCUCGGAUCAGGUAGGGAUACCCGCUGAACUUAAGCAUAUCAAUAAGCGGAGGA
rnacentral:misc_RNA from 1 species